UCUGGAACCAGCCCCACUGGUGGUUGUGUUGGGUCUCUGGGCUGUGCUAAGGAAUUUAGCAAGACUGAAUCUGUUUAUGCAGGUACCUCUGGGCUUGUUUACACCCAGGCAGGCUUUGUGGGGCCAUCUCACCAGCCUGCUUGGCUCUGUCUCCAUUUAUUCACUGAAGGCAAGCAGAACUUUGCCCUCACCCAUCUGCUCCAAAGUCUGAUCUGGAUUUCAAGACAAAAUCUUGGGAGCAAGAACAAAAUCGAAAUGGACAUUACUUCAGCCAAAAUUACUUUGGAUGGCUGAGACUCAGGACGCAAUUCUGAAGACUUGCAAGUGGCACCUCUUACCCAGCCUGCUGGAGGAGACCUCAUGAAAAAUCAUGUUUGGAAGGUAGAACAGAGCCAGCUUACCCAGAGUCUCAAAGAAGCUAAAAUGGCCUCACUGAGCUCUUCCAUCACAGAGCAGAGUGAGGAUUCAGUUCAGUCUCCUGUGCUGAAUAAAACAACAAUAUUCACCUCCACCCAA